rfam:Triticum aestivum genome assembly, contig: Triticum_aestivum_CS42_TGACv1_scaffold_405227_5BL
UGUGUACUCCCUCCGUUACAAAAUACUUGACUUCCAUUUGUCCAAAAAUGGAUGUACCUAUAAUCCUAUAUACUAAAACAUGUCUAGAUACAUCUAUAUUUUGACAAAUAGAAGGCCUGUAUUGUGGAACGUAGGGAGUAGAAU